GGGGGGGGGAGUUGGGAGCAAAAAAACCCCAACAAAAAACAAACAAAAAAACGUGAUAAUGAAAAAUGUGGCCAAAGCUGACAAAGGCAAAUGUUGCAGUUCACCGCCAUCACACAUGGUGUGAUAGAGGGACGUCAUUGCAUGAUGAGAUAUCAGACAUUGAUUUAGCAGUUAAAGCAGGGUGAGUGUCAUUAAGGUGGAAAAUAGCAGCUUUCAUUGGGGAAGAACAAUGAAGGAUUAUGGGAAAGAACUGAUAAUUCUGUGGAAAUGAAAUUUUGAUGACAAUCCACCUGGGCUGGACUUCAAAGCAGAGUUACAAAACUGGACUGAAUUACUGUAUACUGGUUUCAUAUUGUAUAAAACACUGCUUUUGCUGUGUAAUAGCUUUAUUUUUAUGCUAAAAAGGGAAAGAACCUUUAUUUUCCAGAAUUUUUUUUUUAAAUCUUUCCUAAUUCUAGUAAACCUUUUAUUGUGUGUUGUGACGUCUUAUGUCAUUUAUCUUUACACCCUUAUCGAAGGGCAGCAUCUUUCUGCAAAUUAUUGACUCAAAGCUUAUUUUUUUUUUGUCUGUAAAAGUUCCAGGUUUAAAGUUCCAGGUUAAAAACUGGAACAAAACUGUAUUCUUGUGAGGGGCUACUGGUAACAAAAUGCCUAAAGCUUAAGUUGAAAAUUGAGUCUUUAUUAUAUGUGGAGACAAUGUUAUUUGACUCAUUGAAUUGGAAUAAUGAUGAAUCAGGUCUCCAAUUGUCCCAGUAUAUUGUACGUAAAAAAGCAGGAAGUAGUCAAAUUAUUUACAAAAGUAAAGUUCUUGUUUACUGUUUGUUGAGAGAUCAGCCUGUGUUUUAUUAGUUAUAAGUCAGAUGGUUCUAUAGUUAAGUAAUUUCAUUAAAAGCUGGGUAAAUCUAUUCACCUUUGAAUGACGACUAAUCAGUGAUCCACCAUUAAGCUCAAAAUGUGCGAUUUGAAUUUUUAAUUUUCAGCUUUUUUCUUGUUUUCAAUUGAAGUUUCCUCCAUAAAAUGGAGUGAAAUACAAUAAAAUGAAACACAAAGAAACACAAACGUUAAUCACAGAUCACAAUGCAAAUCUGCGGCAAUCAUGCUGAGAAAUACAUAUAUCCCCUACAGUAUGUGAUAUCCUCCUUUGCUAAUCUGCUCGUAAUAUAUUUCAUUUAGUAACACUCAUCCUCAAGUUUACAUAAAGGAUGUUAUCUAAUAAACACGAUAAGUGAACAGAUUAUCUAAUACAGGAAUGUAAGUGUUCUUUUCCUGCUGAAAUACCCCCGGCAUGAGCGUAGCUAUCUUUAAACGCACAUUCUGCACACACACUGAGGACAUGUGGAUUAAAGGAACUCUUUUAAACUAAAUCCUAUCUUAGAUUUGACUUCUAUCCAGCAUAAAGGGGCUGGAAUUCUGUGAGACACAGCAGGUGGGUAUAAGAAUAUAAUGGGCGCAAUGACUCAGAGUGUACAAUAACUCCACACUUUCUAUUAUUACACACUGGCACUGACUGAAUAACUUUUUAAAUUGAAAACGUUACAAAGUGCUCAGUGGCCAGCACAGAACUCAAUAACAUAAAUGUCAGGCUUUAGCAACUAGCAUGAAAAGCAUAUAUUUGUAUGCUUUAAAAUCUGUUUUGCUAUUAUAUUUUAAAUCUGAAAAUUCCGAGAGUCAUACCUUUUAUUAAUUUGGCUCUGGUAACAAACAUUCUAAUAAUUCCUGUAAAAAGCUGAAAAAUGUUAUGUGAAGCUGAGAAGGAAAUGGAGAGGUCUUAAAUUUAAGACAAUGAUUAAAAUAAAAAGGGAAAGCUAACCAAACAGCAGAUGAUGCAUUGUGAGGAUAUUAAAGGGAACUGCAUAAGGUGAAAAUUUGGUUUAAGAAAUGAAAGUCAACCUGAGACAAACUCAGACUGAAGUUAUCAGUAAUGAAAGACAGGUGCUACCACACUCCGUACCAGUAGGUGGCGGUAAUGCAUACCUAACACUUCUUGGCAACCGCCAAGAAAAAAACCAAGGAGACGAGGGAAAGACGCCUGUUAAUUAGCUAACACAAACCUGGUGUGUUGGAAGGAAAAAGAGAAAAAACAAAACAAAAAAACAGCUAAGACGUGUCUUUACUACGACUGGAAAAAAACAAACACAGGGGCGGUAUAACACUGCUACCUGGAGGGGGCUGAGCACGGUCCACACUGCAUGAAGUAGGGAGACGAAACUGAAUCCCUGUAAGGAGGAAGUAACAUCAGUUAGGAAGAAAACAUAGAGGUAAAAGUACACUCUUAAAUGGGUUCAUUCAAAUGAAUAUUGUAUAGAAAGACCACUUCAAAUUUCCUUGAAUAAGUAAUUCAUCAAUGAACUACUAAGGAGAAAAGCAAACACAGAGCUCUUAAAGCACAAUUGUAUGUCGUUGAAAAAAGCGUUUUGUUUUUUUUUUAAAAAUAUGUUACAUGUACUCUCAUUGUAAAAAAUAAAGCUCUUUCAAGCAGAUCUAGUUGCUACACGGGUUUAAAAUUUCUUAAAUCUAACAUCAUCUUUCCAAAACCACACAAUACAACCCAUUACCUCUUAUACAAACAGAAAAUGAACCUUAAAACAAAUAAAAUCCUUGGAUUCAAAGAGGGUGUAAUUUUGUUAAUAAAUUAGUUGGUGUGGGAUUAACUGGAGCCAAAAACAUAUUAUGCUGAUGAUACUGUCAUUUUAGUACCUAUGAGUCUUUCUUGAAACUAAAAUUAGAUACAUGAAACUAUUUUUAUUCGUGCUAAGGCAGGUAAUGUUUCCACUGCCACACCAGAUGAUACAAGUAUCUCAAAAGCUAGGCGAUGUUAACACCGUCCUUUGAUGUUUUCAUCACAUAGUUCUUAAAAUAAUAAGAGUUUAUUAAAUAGUGUUUUGUUUCCUGAAAUUACAAACUGUUCAUAAUUCUGUUUCUAUAAAAGCCAUCUAUAGUUCCACUGGUCAGGAGACAAAAACAGUUAAGGUUAAGCUCCUUAUUUCAGCUUUGUUAGAAGAGUUGAUGGAUAUUUAUAAAGAUGCAUGAUAUCAGGAAAAUGCUUUGAAAUAUUUAUUUAAUCCCCAAAACAUUUCCUUCUUUUCAGUCACUAAAUAUCCUUACCACUCUUCUUUGAGCUUUGGCAUCCCAGCUAAAGAAAUGCAUCUAACAGACGUUAGUCCGGUGAAAUUACUGAUACAAUUUUAAUGCACAGAGAAAUAAUGCACUUGUUAGCAUUUAAGACUCUAAUCAUCUUGAUUCUUAUAAAAAACAAGAUGCUCAUCUUCUUUUAAUAAAUAGGACCCAGCCUGGAAGUAGAAUAGUUUUUCACAAUUUAUGAACUAUUUAGUGUUUUUUCCACUGUCAUUCUUUGUAAAGUAUUUUUAUGUUUAUUCAAACAAUAGAAAUUGUAAGAAAUGUCAUUUUCUUUAGGGGAAGUUUGCAUUUCUCUCUCUGAUAACUUGAUUUAUAACACUACUGAGACUUGUUGGUUUCUAUACAUUCAUGUCAUUAAGAUUAACUGAUAAAUCCUACAAUAAUUAUUAUUUUUUACCACGAGUGUACAUUGUGUAACAAUCUUAAGCAAUUCCUCUGCAUGUAAAUUGUAUAACUAUUGAAACCGUUAUUCAGUAAUAUCUGUGUUUUCUUCUCCAAAUGCAUUUUCUUUUAAUAGCCCUGAAGCAACUUGUAACCUUGAUGAGCAAUGUCCAUGAGCAACAUUCCUUAUACAGCGUCUUAAAAAUGUUGCUGUGCUUGAAACACAUCUUUGGGUGUUUGUCUUUCAUAGCUUUGCACAACUUCCUUUUGUAGGCAGUUUUAUUUACCCAUUUGAAUACAUUAAAUGUUUCAGUAUAAUAGUAAACCAACUUCCAACAGACUUUAAUACUGUUGGCAAACAGUUUCGGAAUAAUAGCAGUUACUAGGAAUGUGACUCAUCUACAAUGCUUUAAAUCUAAAAAAUAAGCAUCAUGACUCUUAAUAGUUUUUACUUUGUACUGAAACACACAACAUCAAAGAACAUUCGUUUAAAUGUGUAAACAUUUUGCUCUCCAUGUCUAUAUUAAACAUGCAUACAAGACAGACAGGAAAUUAUCAACAUGAAUGUGAAGCUACAGUCGUUGUAUAAAUAUCAUCUGAAAUGAUUCUCAAUUUUUAAAGUAGACAAGUACUUUUAAAUGUGUUUUACAAGGUAACCAUUAAGCCAUUCAGAAAGAGAUUGCGUCUCUUCUUAGGAGGCACAAUCCUUCAGUCGGUUUUGGACUGCACUGUAAAAGUAAUGCCCAGAAAGACUUGAAAGAUCAUCAGGUCCUGAAAAAGCAAAGCGAAGUGUUGUAGGAAUAAACUGGAGUCGCUUUCAUGUUACAUAUUAGCAGAAUUAACAAAAUGAGAUUAAGACAACAAAGAACAACAAGAAAGUCAGACAGAAUGUGGUGAGAGACCCAGACAAAGAACACAGUUCUGAACUGGAAAGUAAGAGAGUCUGUCUCUGUUCUCUAUUUUCACUUUUCGAAAACAAUUUAAGAACUAUGCAUGCUGCAGUAAAGCAUUGGGACAUUUUUAAAGAUUCAUUUCCACAUUUUGCUAAAUUUUGGAGUGAUUGGAUCAAAUAAUUUUACUUGUGAUAUACUUGCAAUGAACACAUUGUGCUGUACUUAAUUCAACUAGCAUAAGCCAAACUUUGAUGACUCAGAAACUUUAGUCUUUUUGCAAAAUCUGGUUGAGGUUUCCAAUUAAUCAAUUAGGUGUAUAUGAAAA